CCACCAUCUGCACAUUUAUUGAACAUGCUCAAUGCUCCAUCAUUGUCUCAUAACAACUGCCUGUACAAGAAAAGCCACCAACUCCAGUAUGUGACUUUGCUGAUGGUUUAUUACCUUAAGGAAAAGACUUACACAGAGAAAUUGAGCAAUGAAAACCCUUCACAUUGAGCAAACACAUUCCACGCUACACAAAUCAUGAGAAAAAUGAGAACUGUUGUGAAACAUGACAGAUUGCCCAAGUGUUAUUUUUCCUCUAUUGGAAAAUUCUAAGACGUUUCCUCAUGUGUAGUUUUUCAGUCACAAAAAUGGCAGUAGGAAUAUUUAAAUAUUAAAUCACAGUUUGAAAAUAGAUACAUACAUACAUAUAUAUACACACACAGGGAUACAUAGUUGACUUAUGAUUCCCAGAUAUGCAGGGUUAUCAUUGUGACUGCUUUGGAUCAAGACAAGUUUGUAAAAAGCAGCGACAUAGUUCAACAUAAUAGUCAGGAGCUAGAUUACUUCCCUGUAAUUGCUAUGCACACACAGUACAAGGCUAGCGAGAUUAUAGACAAUCAUGUCAUUCGAAUCUACUAUCUUUGAUAAUUCUGAAUCAUUUUCAAAGUUAAAAUUGCAGCUAUUGUCAGUAAAGCGCCUCUUAUAAAGGUCAUGCCUUUUGAUUUGGGGGACAGAAUAACUAGGCGUAGCACAAGAAGAGAUGGCUCAGGUAUCAGACUAUCCUGGGUUUCCAGUCUUGGUCUGCUGUUCACUAGCUGGUAAGACCUUGAGUACACGACUAAACUUCUGUGAGACUCAGAUGAUAAUGCCAUAUUCUAUAGGUUUGCUGUGAGGAUUAAAUGAGAUAUGGCAGGAAAGCACCUUCCACAAGGCUUGGUGUAUGCUAAGCGCUCAAAAAAUGCUUAUGAUAAGGUUUAGCAAGAAUUAAAUAAAAUAAUGAACAACUUAGCAUAGUGCUUGGCACCAAGUAAACACUCAAUCAGUGGAGAUUUUUUUCCAUUAUAUUUAUUAUUCUUAAUUUUUAUUGAAUCAGGCCACACCAUUGCAGGGAAAUUCUGACUUAGAAAGCGCUUCAUUACAUUGGAUCCAAAUUUCCUUCUCCAUGGCUUCAACCCAUGGGUCUGAGACUUGCCCUCCGGGCUCUGCAUAAGAUAGUUCCGUUUCUCAAAACCAAUGGCGACUGGGUUAUUCUGACCACCUUCCUGCACCCAUUGCCAGAAUAAUCCCUAGUUUCUCCAACCAGACUUCCUAUGAUCUUUGAAAGCUAAGUUCAGUUUCCCAAAUUGAGAUGCAAAUUCAGUAAGAACCUAGCUCUUGGGUUUCCACUGAAUUUCAAAUGGAGUGAGCUGUUAUCCAGCCUUGUAAUUUGUAGAUGGCAGGUGUUUUCACUCUCAGAAAAUCUAACAUGAUUCACACUGACUUACAGAAGAGAUCAUUCAUGGAGUGAAUUCUCUUUAUACAAGAAUUCUUGCAUACGCAUACACAAAUAUAUGUAUACAUACAUAUGCAUUUCUUUGAAAUAUUAAAUGUCUCUUUUGCUAAGGCACUUAAUAUAAAAUUUUGACUGUUAAAAUUCUAUUUUCAUGUAGCUUUGGAAGAAGAGAGCUUCGAAUAAAAGUAGGAACACAUGCACAGCUUCCUGUAUUCAUCAAGUAUUUAAUGAGCACCACUGUAUACCUUGCACUGGACUAGGUUUUGGGGAGGUCACAGUAAGGAGGAUGUAUUCCCAGUCCUUUUCCCGUUUAGGAAUCUCUCUGCACACUGCACAGAAUUCCCUGUGAAUAACUACACAACAUUCAAUAUGCAGCAUUGGGUAAACAGAAUCAUCUUUUAAAUGUGUGAUGAGAGCUGGUUCCGAUGGGAAAGAGGGAAUAAGCUACAGGGGAUUCCUGGAUUUUUGUGUGUCCCAUGUAUUUUGGAUGCUUAAGCACCUAAAUUAUCAGAAAAUCAGAUAUUCUCGUCUUUUGAAAAGGAGCUAGAAAGACUAUAAGAGGGAAAAAUGACAUUAAAAAAUCAAGCCAUUUAUUGCAAUGUUUUCCUAUUCUGACACAUUUGGAAGCUCUAAAAACAGGGGGAAAAUAUGGGUUAUAAAGACAGUCCAAUUUCGAUCUGAAUCCUAACUUUCCCAGUCACCAACUGGGUGACUCUGGUUGAGUUUUCUCACCUCUAUGAGCUUCCGUUUCACAUUUGUAAGAACAGAAAUAAUAAUGGGAACUUCUCAACAUUGUCGUGAAGAUUCAGUGAGCUAAUACAUGCAAAGCACUGAGAGCAAUGUCUGGCACAGAAAAGGCCCUAAAUAAAAGAAUUCUAACAGUAAAUAUUAUAUUUUCCUAAUACAAUAAAUAAUAGCCUGAUAUUCAUUAACAACAACCUUUUCCUUUUAGCUUCAACCUCUUCAGCUUUAAACCUUUAUUAAGUCUAUUUCUGUUUCUAAACAACCGGUAAACCUCCAUCUUCCUACCAGAAAACUGGCCAUUUGGUCAGCAGAACGAAAGGCUGUGAAAUGAGUCUCUGCAAUAGAUGUGUCCUGAACACGGGGGCCCCUGGAGUCCCACAGCCUCCAGCUCUAGAGGUCACCCCAGGCUGCUACCAAGGGCACCCACUUCUUGGUUUGACCCACACCCCUACCUGAACCUGUCUUGGUCAUUUCAGUGGGUCUGGCAUGGUCUGCAGCUGGGUCUCUCAAGGCUCUGUAAGAGUAGAGGAGUGUUCCAGGGCACCACUCUCAGGGGCCAGACAGGCCAGUCCAGAGGCCUUACCAAUUCCUAUGAACCCCAAGCAGGACAAGGGAGAAGAUUCAAGGAAGAGCCUGGCCAACUGCCCAAAGCCCUGCCAGUCAGCAGCUGAUUCAGUGUGAGAGUCAAUUGGUCCUUCUGAAACGGGCUGACCUUUCCCUGUCUCUGGAGUAUUAACUGGGGGCUUUUCCCAUCAACAGGAAUGUUUAUCAAAUUUUAUUUCUGACUGGGACAAACCUAAUCUGUACCCUUCACAGUGUAGGGGUGAAGAGAAACUUAACCUCAACAAUGCCCAGGUUAAUGGAUACAACUUUCCAUUAAAAAUCAAAAUUAAG
rnacentral:lncRNA from 10 species